ACAGCCAACAGGGGGAGCAGUGCGAGCGUGAAGGCAGACAGUGGCCUGGCCCAGUCUGAUGGGAGAGACCCACCGACCCUGUGGGGCUGGUCCCUACA
rnacentral:lncRNA from 1 species